rnacentral:rRNA from 1 species
UAUUGAAGGGAAGAAGGGGGCGUACUCUACGGGGGGGCAGCAGUGGGGAAUAUUGCACAAUGGGCGCAAGCCUGAUGCAGCCAUGCCGCGUGUAUGAAGAAGGCCUUCGGGUUGUAAAGUACUUUCAGCGGGGAGGAAGGGAGUAAAGUUAAUACCUUUGCUCAUUGACGUUACCCGCAGAAGAAGCACCGGCUAACUCCGUGCCAGCAGCCGCGGUAAUACGGAGGGUGCAAGCGUUAAUCGGAAUUACUGGGCGUAAAGCGCACGCAGGCGGUUUGUUAAGUCAGAUGUGAAAUCCCCGGGCUCAACCUGGGAACUGCAUCUGAUACUGGCAAGCUUGAGUCUCGUAGAGGGGGGUAGAAUUCCAGGUGUAGCGGUGAAAUGCGUAGAGAUCUGGAGGAAUACCGGUGGCGAAGGCGGCCCCCUGGACGAAGACUGACGCUCAGGUGCGAAAGCGUGGGGAGCAAACAGGAUUAGAUACUUGGGUAGUCACAGAGUCUCCUCACGUCGUAUCG